rnacentral:rRNA from 4 species
CAAGGCGACGAUCCCUAGCUGGUCUGAGAGGAUGACCAGCCACACUGGAACUGAGACACGGUCCAGACUCCUACGGGAGGCAGCAGUGGGGAAUAUUGCACAAUGGGCGCAAGCCUGAUGCAGCCAUGCCGCGUGUAUGAAGAAGGCCUUCGGGUUGUAAAGUACUUUCAGCGGGGAGGAAGGUGUUGUGGUUAAUAACCGCAGCAAUUGACGUUACCCGCAGAAGAAGCACCGGCUAACUCCGUGCCAGCAGCCGCGGUAAUACGGAGGGUGCAAGCGUUAAUCGGAAUUACUGGGCGUAAAGCGCACGCAGGCGGUCUGUCAAGUCGGAUGUGAAAUCCCCGGGCUCAACCUGGGAACUGCAUUCGAAACUGGCAGGC